rnacentral:rRNA from 1 species
UACGAAGGGGGCUAGCGUUGCUCGGAAUCACUGGGCGUAAAGCGUGCGCAGGCGGUUUUGUAAGUUUGUCGUGAAAUCCCCGGGCUCAACCUGGGAAUGGCGAUGAAGACUGCAAGGCUAGAGUUUGGCAGAGGGGGGUAGAAUUCCACGUGUAGCAGUGAAAUGCGUAGAUAUGUGGAGGAACACCGAUGGCGAAGGCAGCCCCCUGGGUCAAAACUGACGCUCAUGCACGAAAGCGUGGGGAGCAAACAGG